rnacentral:rRNA from 1 species
AUUGAACGCUGGCGGCAGGCUUAACACAUGCAAGUCGAGCGGUAGCACAAGAGAGCUUGCUCUCUGGGUGACGAGCGGCGGACGGGUGAGUAAUGUCUGGGAAACUGCCUGAUGGAGGGGGAUAACUACUGGAAACGGUAGCUAAUACCGCAUAACGUCGCAAGACCAAAGAGGGGGACCUUCGGGCCUCUUGCCAUCAGAUGUGCCCAGAUGGGAUUAGCUAGUAGGUGGGGUAAUGGCUCACCUAGGCGACGAUCCCUAGCUGGUCUGAGAGGAUGACCAGCCACACUGGAACUGAGACACGAUCCAGACUCCUACGGGAGGCAGCAGUGGGGAAUAUUGCACAAUGGGCGCAAGCCUGAUGCAGCCAUGCCGCGUGUGUGAAGAAGGCCUUCGGGUUGUAAAGCACUUUCAGCGAGGAGGAAGGUGGUGAACUUAAUACGUUCAUCAAUUGACGUUACUCGCAGAAGAAGCACCGGCUAACUCCGUG